rnacentral:rRNA from 1 species
UACGAAGGGGGCUAGCGUUGCUCGGAAUCACUGGGCGUAAAGGGUGCGUAGGCGGGUCUUUAAGUCAGGGGUGAAAUCCUGGAGCUCAACUCCAGAACUGCCUUUGAUACUGAGGAUCUUGAGUUCGGGGAGAGGUGAGUGGAACUGCGAGUGUAGAGGUGAAAUUCGUAGAUAUUCGCAAGAACACCAGUGGCGAAGGCGGCUCACUGGCCCGAUACUGACGCUGAGGUGCGAAAGCGUGGGAGCAAACAGGG